UACGGGGGGGGCAAGCGUUGUUCGGAAUUACUGGGCGUAAAGGGCUCGUAGGCGGCCAACUAAGUCCGACGUGAAAUCCCCAAGCUUAACUUGGGAACUGCGUCGGAUACUGGAUGGCUUGAAUUCGGGAGAGGGAUGCAGAAUUCCAGGUGUAGCGGUGAAAUGCGUAGAUAUCUGGAGGAAUACCGGUGGCGAAGGCGGCAUCCUGGACCGACAUUGACGCUGAGGAGCGAAAGCUAGGGGAGCAAACGGG
rnacentral:rRNA from 1 species